ACUGGAACAAGUUGUCCAGAGAUGUUGUGGAUGUCCCAUCCCUGGAGACAUUCAUGGUCGGGCUGGAUCUGUUUAGCAACCUUGGCAGCCUGAUCUAGCUGUGGUGUUCCUGCUCAUUGCAGGGGAGUUGGACUAGAUGACCUUUAAAGGUCCCUUAGAAUCUAAGGAUUCUAUGAUUCUCUGAUCUUCUCUAUUUCCUCUUCAGAAUGAUACUUCAGAAAGUGCCUAGGCCUACAUCUGAGGCUGACCAGGGCCACAUGUUGAUGUAGUGGUGCUGUAUUCUUACACGUCUAUAGGAUGUCAUGCCUGAGGGAAACCACCAGAGUGGGGUGGUAAAGAACAGCUGCUGUGAUGCUAUUGUGUGCAAUAGCUAUAGAGUAAAAGUAUAGUUGGCCCUCUUUCUUUGCAAUACCAAGUAAAAACCAGAAGCAAAAGAGAAAGUAAAGGUUUGGGAAUUUUUGCCAAAUUGUCUCAUUCAGGGAUUUAGAAGUGGAUGAAGCAGGUGGUUCUGAUUCUUGUAAAAGCAAGACAAAUCAGAGUAGGUUUAUUAGAUCAUAUGCACAAGUCAGGCAGUGCUGAGUCUGGAGGAAGGAAAAACAAUCCACCUCAGAGCUCAGGCAUACUUGUAUCUCCUUUCUGGGUGAAGUAUGUGGAAACUGGAGAUCCUGCUUUACAUUGUGCUGAAGCCUGUCUCUUUGGAUCUAUCUGUCUGAAUCCACAGUUGGUCUCUUGCUCAUCAGAUGAGGAAUGAUCCUUUCGGAGGGUGUUGUACAGAGCCUCUAAUGUCUGCGUAGGAGCUACAGGGAAGAGAACAACUGGGAAUGUCCUGAUAUUUCUCUAUUAAAAUAAUAAUAAUAAUAAUCAACUUAAGUAUUGAUUAAUAUUUCCUUUCUCUGAGAAUUCAGCUUUCACUGAAGAGGGAUACCUGGAGAGUGGAAAUGGUCUUCACAAGCCCUACCUUCUGCCUGCAUGUACCAUCCCCUGGUACUGCUGCUGGUGCUGGUUGGGUCUGUAAUGAGGCACUUUGACUCACUGAUCCUGAAUAAGACUGAAUAUAUGAAAACAGAAGUAAUUUUUAGCCAGGUUGGUGAGCUGCAUCAACUUCAGAACACACAAAUGUAUACAACAGACUCCAUUUGGAUAACUGGUUUUGCAAAGAUCUCGUUUUACCCACAGGAUGCUGAGAGGAGUUUGCUAAAGGGAGACACUACCUAAAGAAUAAGGGUACAUUAAUGACUUUAGUAAAGCCUUACACAGUAAUGAAAAACAACAACCCAAAUCACCAACUCAGUUCAGUCCUCAAAAAUAUCUGUAGCUUGUCUAAUUCCUUGGGUUUAAUACAAAAUCAGCAAAUGAUAUCUCAGUGAGCUGUGCAUACCUGCUUUUGUAUCUAAGAGCGCUAAAGGCCACUGGGGAACUAGAGCAGUCAUUGUCUUUCAUUCAGUAGCAAAACCUGUUUACUUUUCUUGGUCUCAGGUCCUUAGGACAGCCCAAAUCCAGCUUUCAGUAAGACAUUGUUUGCUCUGCUGUGCUGUCAAUAAGAUGUCAUUACUUAGGGCUGCAAGGUAAUAAAGGAUUUGUUAAUGGCUCCUCUUGAGGGUGGUGACAUUUUUUCCCCCCCCCUUACUGACCACUGGGGGAACAAAUUGGGAACAGACUGACAAGGAUGACAAGGAAAGAAAUUGGAUUUUAUUUAUUAAUUUCUUUAAUUAUUUUUAGUUAAAGCACAAGGUUUUAACAAGUGCAGGCCUUUUCUUCUUUAUUAUUAAUAUGUAGUAGGGUGUGAAAAGAGUUUUAUAAUAUGCAGUGUGCUUUAGCAUACAUACCUGUUAAAGAGAAUACAGUAGGUAAGUGUUGUGAGCUGCAGAAGGUCCGUCUGUUGCUAAUUCUGAAGCAUGGCAGAGGAGAGGCAGACCAGUGUUUGCCAUUCCUGGAUGUAAACAAGCAGUUACUAAUUAACAGCAGAUAUGGAAAGAAUUUCUUAGCUGUUGCUCUGAAGCAUUUGACAGCACUGAAAUGGGGUCUCUGUGGCUGGGGAAGGAGCUGCCCUUGCCCUGCGGCCUCAGCCUCCUACCACAGCCUCCUGCAGAUCCUCCCUCUGACUUUGUUCCCGUCCCAGCUGCACGGCAGACAUCUGUUGUUGCCACGCGUCCCAGUCUCCUUGCUUUUUUCAGAUGCCAGGUCACAGUUUGCUUUGGCAAACCCGUAAGUAACAGUGCCAUAUUCUCUUCGAAACCAUGCUUAAUAGACAAUAGUGAAGGGCCCGAUUCUGCCAGUUUGUAGCUGCCUGUGUGAUGUCCUGUGUAGUUAAAGUUAUGAACAACCAGAGGGCUUGUCUGAACUUGAAAACUCAUUUGGAUCAAGGUGAAGCAAAAAGUCAAAGCACAAUAGCUCUGCCUGAAUAGGGACAUUCACAAGGCCAAGACCAGGUGCCAAGACUAGCCCUGAAGUCAUACAGAGCACUCUUAAAGGCACAGUGUGGCCCAUUCCAGCUAACCUGAAGAGAAGAUCUAUCACGAGGCAAAUAACUUUAACCCCUGGCUCACCACUUGGUGAGCUUUCAGCUGUAUAAACUGCAAGAAUCUGACAAACUCUAAAAGCCACGGAUCCUUGGUGCUGUAGAUGGACAUUUGGGCUUCCCAUUGAGUGGGAGGGAUCAGUCACCACUUCCCACUCCAGCAGAGAACGGACCAAAAGCAAGGACCCUGCAGGGCCCUGGUCACAGAGGCUUAAGUGUAAUUGUGCUCGUUCAGAGUAGGCAGACUGGUUUAGAGAAUGACUGCAUGAAUGAGCACAGUGCGGCUGUAAGGGGAGACUUCUUACUUGGGUCCAAAUGAGAUCACACAAGAACAGGAAGGGGUGUCUCUGUGGAAGAGGAGGAGUGGAAUGGCUCGGACACUGGCAUAGCAAAGAGGAAGAACUGGAGUGGAAGCAGAAGAGACGUGAUGACAGUCUGGACAGAUGAGACACAGAGAGUGAGAUUUGGAAGUUGGUUUAGUUGCACUGUGCUGGUCGCCUCUGUUUCAGACCAAAUGAAGUGGCUGCCACGCUGGAGGCUGCGCUGUCCUGUACCACCGCUUCCUUCCAAGGCUGCAUAAGGAGCGCAGCAUCUGACCUGCCUGGAGGUGGGAACAUCUCACAUACUUGAUUCAGAUGAAGGAAUAAAUGAAGACUCUGAAACACAACACAGGGCUUAUCUUGACAGGAGUGAAAAGGUAUAAAGGCCUAAACUGUUUAUUUGUAUGAGAACAUAAUGGUCCUUGUCAUCGACUUGGGGUUGAAAGGAAUGACUUCCAUCCAGAGGAUGGAGAAAAAAUGGGAGAUAAAUUACAGCAGCAGUAACAGUUUAAUGGCAAAAGAUUGAAAAAGAGGGAGAAUAUGGAAAUUAGACAGUGAUGAUGUUCUAAGAAUUUAAAUGUGGCUUUGGCAGCAGCAGUAUCAUUUGUACAAAAACAAACAAGGAUAAUCAACAACAAAUGCAUUAUUAUUUUAAAAUAGAUUUUAUUUAAUGACAAUAAAUAUAAAUUGCAACGUUCAGAAACUAAUAGCAAACAUUCUUAGAAAAAAAUACAAAAAAAUACAUUCUUACAUUCUGAAUUUUAUCAGCAUACACAGCAUCUAAAACAGUGGCAAUGGCCUGCCAUUUAUGUUGCUCAUAUCUUACUUUAAGGUAAUGAAAUGGUGACUGACUCAAAUUCAUCCUGACUUCAUCGGACCUGUACACAAUGUAAAAAUAGUAAAACUGAUCUAAAGUUUAAAAUCAACAUUAAUUUUCCCUUCAAGCAGAUCUUUAAACAUUAUUAAGGUGACCUAGUCCUGAAAAAAACACCAGUAUGUUGGCAAUUGCCCCCACCCCACAUUUGCACUUUGUUCCUAUGCCUCCGCAGAGCUCACUGUCGGAGGUUUCAGCAGCUGGAGGUAGAGGCUUAUUUACAUUGCACAGAUUAAGAGGUUUAGGCACUUUGUGCUGUCAAAAGCACUGCGUAUAUGGCAAAAUGAACUGAAUUCCUGAUGCGGUGUUUUUUGACAUUAGGUGUUAUGGCUACAUUAGCAAGUAGCAUGGCACUUGGGAAGCAAAUAACUGAGCAAAAUGUUGAUGCUGAGAAGCUGAUGUCCAUGAGUACUCACUGCUCUCUGCACACUAGCUCUGGUUUUAGAGCUGUGCACUAAAAUGUUUGCCAGAGAAAGGUAUACCAUCAUGUGCAUACCUCGAGUCUAUCGCCUGGUUUGGCUCAAGACAUUAAGAAUCCAGUUCAUGAGCUCUGAGACCAAGCAUGAGCCACCACCCAGAAAGUGGGGGACAGGUGGAAGACCAGUUUCGAGCACACUCCUGAUCUAAACAAAAUGGUAAUAUAGAAACUCACCAGCAUUCCCCAGGUCGUGGCACCAAGUCUGAUAGAGUUCAAGAGGUGUUUGAACCAUACUCUCAGACACAGGGUUUGAAUUCUGGGGGGUCGUGUGGGGGGACAGGUGCUGGAAUUGAUAAGAUCCUUCCAACUCAGGACAUUCCACGAUUCUAGGUGGUUAGGAGUCUAUUGCAGGAGACUAAGCCGUAGAUAAAUACACCUUGCUGUUAUAGCGUGUUUUUAUUUACUUUGUUUUUUCCGGGCCACCUCCCCUUCAAGCAGCGCUUGUUAUAAGGCGCAAAUGGGAGGCACAGGAAGAAAAAAAGGCUCAGAAUACCGGGCACUCCUGAAAGUCUGUUUUAAGCUCUGCUGCUGUUCACAUUGUAUCCCUAGGCAAGGCAUUUAAUUCCUUUGUUUCUUUUUUUCUUGUCAAAGAGGGCAAUCAAAGUUUCCGUAAGACCAAACAAUUACCUGAGAUGGCCCAUUUCGUGAUCGUUAUUUUUUGCCUUCAUCACACGAAACCUCUUUGCAAGCACCAGCCCUCCCAAACGGCACCUAAGAGUGUGUUUAAGGCACUUUGGCACCGUGAUUCCCUACGGGGAGAUGGAAAUGGCACUUCCCAGCUGAACACUGCUGCUAAUUGGAAAACACUAGUUUAUAUAUGAGGAAAUGCCAACUUGAAGCCAAAAUCAGAAGCUCUGAGCUUGCAUGGAGCUGAGUACUUCAUCAAAGCUAUUCCAUGAAAUGGUUUUCUGGACAAAAUUUUGGUACAAAGCAAAGCUUGGUAUACUGCCCAGUGACAGACAGGCAACAAGCACUAACUGAGACACAAGAAAUUCCAUCUGAGCAUAAGAAAAAAUCUUUCUGUAUCUAUGAGGGUGACAGAGCGCUGGCACAGGCUGCCCAGAUCUGUGGGGUGCCCUCCUUGUCAUUAUGGAACAAGGUCAUACCAGUAUUGGAGUGAUAUAUUUCAACAAGAAGUCCUGUCUUGUUUAGAAACUACUGAGUGUUUGUCCAUCCAUCUGCCAAAUUUAUACUUGGUUCCUCAUAAAUGUAAAGACUUGUUAUGAUUUUUGGCAACAAAAAUAAAUGUCAAUGAGUGGAAAGGA